GACCUUGAGCCAGUGGGCUGUUUUCAUACUUCUCUUUCAUAGUUACUUAGUUGCGUUAACAUUGUCAAAAAGUAAAACAAAACUCCCAAGCCUAAAGCCUCCCCUGCUUUGAGACAGUCUCCCCAUCCUGACACCUGUGACCCUGAGUUCAUCUGCAUUAUUCCAACCCAUCUGGUGAAUGAGUUAAUGCUGAUUUUUGAUCAUCCAACAUGGUGUCAGCCUCCUUCAGCCUUCCAAGAGUCAUGAAGACACUGAAAAGUGAUGAAUCCACAUAACCAUGACACUGGAAAUGAAGUUUGAGUGGCAGUCAGAAUCUGGGAGGAAGCAUUGCUAAGUGAAAAUCUUAUGGAGCUUGACUAAAAAUCCCUGUCAGGAACCGUCAAAAGCUGUGUCCCUGACAUGAAAAAUCUUGCUGGAAGUUGAGAGAGGUUUAUGCCUACUCCGUGAUCCGGGAACACAAGACCUUUACCAACCAAAAAAGUGGAUAGCUGUUCUUCUGCUGUGAAGGUUAAUAAAGAACGCCAGAAGUGCCAAGCAAUUAACAACCCCAGAAGCAACCCUUAACCAAUGAUUAAAUAAAGUGGAUGAUUACAUACCCAAGCUCCUUCAACUCCCAGGGACAUAAUUCUGAGGGAUGGAAAACAAACUGAAACUGGCUCAAGUGAAUGCUCACUGGAAGGCUUACUGGAAAACUUACUGGAAGGAUGUGAGGACAUGUUCGGGAAUCUAUUUGCAGAAAACAUAUUCAGCCCUGUCCACCACAGCCAGCUGGCUGAAGAGCUCAAAAGGCAAGAAAUCAGCAAGAGAGAGAGAUGAAGCAUGAGAAAUGAGCAAAAAACACCCAGCACAUCAUAAUCUUGGACAGUUUAGCAGUACAUGAAAAUAGAUGGUCCUCGCCCCAAGGGACUGCAGUAACCCUGAAUAAACAGGAUGUCUCUCACUUUUAGCAGUUCUUUCUGUGCUAGUAUUGGGGAAAUAUAUUUUUGGCUGCAUGCAAAAUGGUAAAAGACAUCUAUUAAGAAAAUGAAAACAAUGCUUCUGUUUUAGACGAAGCUUUUGAAGGUUUAAGGAUCACCUAUUUAUUGACAAAAUUGUUUCCGUGGCUUAAAAAUAAAAUACAAACAAAUACUACAGGUAUUCUUGCCUUCUCAUUCUACUUAAAAUCACAUUUCCAAAGACUUUCUUCUCUACUUAAAAACAGGAAUUAAGAAAUACUCAAAAGAGAUCCUAGACAAAACUAACAUUUCAGCAACCAAAGAUAAAUCAUGCUUUUAGAGGAAGAUGCUAGGUUCUAGAAUCUCUCUGAACACCGUGUAGCACUAAGAAACUACAAUCACUGGCUGAGACCUUGAUCAAAUAAUGGCUAACAUAUAAGAUGCUUAUUCUAGUCAGGCACACUUCUAAGAGCUGUAUAUCUGCUAAUUCAUUUAUUCUCCUAGGAUAUAAAGGAUCAGCAGAUCCUUCAGGCUCUGGUAUGUUCUGAGAUGAGUUAACCCAGAAAUUGUCAUCAAAAGACAGAUUCAGCAAAACGGAAA
rnacentral:lncRNA from 10 species